UCCUUUCUAGCUUAAGGGGAAAGCAUCAGUUUGAAGAGCUGGGGAUACGGUGUCGUGGUAGGA
rnacentral:tRNA from 1 species